CGGAUGCUCAGACAUCUUGCUGUAAAAAAUUAGUGAAGGCAAAGCAACAAUAUAUGUAGAAUAGGGAAUUAUAUGUGGAAUCUCACAAUCUCACCUCUCUUACCAACCGAAGCUCAUGUGAGUUCCCCGCAGAUUACAACGGCCAAUGCGAGGUGGUAACCGAGAAUGAUGGUUGGGAGAAUCCACGAUCAGUAUUUUCCUAUGACGAUGGGUUAUUUGUGGAGCUUGGUGGGGAUAUAUUUCACAAGGAAUGCAGUCUGAAUUCUUGAUAUUGUAAAGUUAAACCAUAAUCCAAACUAGAAGUUCAAUGCCUAGUGCUGACCACAAGAUAUGAGUGAUGUAAAUAGAUCAAACACAAGCGCAAAGAUAAUUCAGAUUUGAUGCAAACAAGGAGUGUGCCUAGGAUGCAAGUGUUGCAAUCAAACCCAAGCAAAAUUUUGCACCAAAGAUGGAUAAUGACUGAUUUUGUAACUUGAUAUAAAAUUCAGAAUUUGAGCACAUAAACAGAGUGAAUUUUCUACUCUUUCUUCACAACUUUUCUUCCUCAACUCUCUUUUUUUUCACUUUCCUUUUUUUUGAUACUAUGUUUUUUUAUAACUAAGAACAAGAGCAGAUAUAACACUUGCACACACUUUUUUUUUGAAACAAGACACAACCGUCAGCGUUCUAACUUGAUAGGCUCAAAGUUUACGCGAAGGAUGAUACCGGUUUCAGAUUUUCUUUAGGGAUUUGUAGAUAUAAAAGAGGCACAAAGAACACACAAAGGAUAUGAUGAUCAGCAACUAAACAAAACUCUAAUGGACUGAAACUUAACCAAACUCACAAGAAAAACAGAUUGAAACAAAGGGCUAAUGCAAUUUUUUUAUGGCUUUUUGGUGGAUAGGACGAACAAGAUAUAUAUAUGUAGCCAAUGGUAAAAAUCCUACCGUGGAAACUUGAGCUUUGAUACCAGAUGGUGAGGUCGUUGUCCCGAUCUUGACGACGUAGGAUAACUAGCUGAAGAUCAGCCGAUAACUUGCUGCAAGCAGGGAGGAUAACUAGUGCAACCUGACGACACGCACAAGGAGCCAACCACCGUCUCUAUACGGCAGCCUGAACCAAGGAUUCGCCCAACCACACUCUCAAAGAACCAACCUACGCAACCUGAACUCGAGGAUCAGGAGCACGGAUUGGGUGCCGAUGACGCAGCCGCUUCUGUAAUCUCCGCGAAGGAAAACACAAGAGCAAAAGGGGUAG
rnacentral:lncRNA from 1 species